CACCGUCCGUCUGCAGAGGUGUAAAAGCACUUUUAUUCGUUGCCUGAAGCCAAACUAUGCCAAGCUUCCUGGGGUCUUUGAUGUGGACU